rnacentral:rRNA from 1 species
AGAGUUUGAUCCUGGCUCAGGAUGAACGCUGGCGGCGUGCCUAAUACAUGCAAGUCGAGCGGUAAGGCCCCUUCGGGGGUACACGAGCGGCGGACGGCUGAGUAACGCGUAGGAACGUACCCUAAAGUGAGGGAUAACUGCUCGAAAGAGUAGCUAAUACCGCAUGUGGUCUUCGGAUUAAAGCUUUAUGCGCUUUGGGAACGGCCUGCGUAAGAUUAGCUUGUUGGUGAGGUAAUGGCUCACCAAGGCGACGAUCUUUAGCUGGUCUGAGAGGAUGAUCAGCCAGACUGGGACUGAGACACGGCCCAGACUCCUACGGGAGGCAGCAGUAGGGAAUUUUCCACAAUGGACGAAAGUCUGAUGGAGCAACGCCGCGUGCAGGAUGAAGGCCUUCGGGUUGUAAACUGCUUUUGUAUGUGACGAAUAUGACGGUAGCAUACGAAUAAGGAUCGGCUAACUCCGUGCCAGCAGCCGCGGUCAUACGGAGGAUCCAAGCGUUAUCCGGAAUUACUGGGCGUAAAGGGUUGCGUAGGUGGCAGAGUAAGUUAGUAGUGAAAGAGUCCGGCUCAACCGGAUACACAUUACUGGAACUG